ACUCCCAGUCUCCACCAAAAACCCCGACCCGGAGAAAGAAGAAGAGAGGAGGUAAGAAAUCCGAAGAGGUACGAUCUUCCGAAGAGUGGUUUCUCUCUCUCCUUCUUCCCCUGCCGGGUAUCCGGAAGAACCCCGUCCAAUCCUGGACUCGGCUGUGUUCGAUCUAGUGAAAGCGGAGCCCGCAUGAACUCUAGUGAGGCCUGCCCCGUCACUAGCCGACCAAUACUUUGCCCUCCAAGAUCUCUACUGGAGGGUGAUGGAGGAUCCGGCCAUGUCGGACUCCGCUGAGGCUACCUGCUUGUACAAUCCUCCUGUGUGCCACACUGCCCUCGUUAACCUUGUGUGGAACCCUGAUUGUUAUCAGCUGUUCCAUGUUUCCUGCCUUUAGUCUUGUGUAUUUAGUCCGCGUUCAAGUCUGUUUCUCAAGUCCUGUCAUUGAAUUCUCUACUGUGGAAGUACCAUUUUGUUGUUUUGCUGAGGACCCAAGCGGCUGGACCAGGCCAAGGGGACGCCCACAUAACACCUGGCUGUGGCAGAUGGAUAAUCAUUUCUGGAGGGUGGGACUGAACCGUGUAUCUGAUUGGAGGAUCACUGACCGGGAUCCUGAGGAGUUUCGCUGAGUGGUUCAUGACUUUGACUGGUAUGUGGUCUGACUGCAGGGAAAACCAGGAAAGCUCCAUAUUCACAGAAAUCCCACAAGGCAGAGUGGCAUUUCCUCCAGGCUGGACCUCUAUCACCGCCGGCUCCUUAGCCUGGGUCACCAGAGCAGCACUGCAACCUGGAGACACAUAAAACAGUGUAAAGACGAUAUUAAUAAGCACGGAAUAAAGUUAUAAAAUUAAGAUAUUUGAAAUACUGACAGAAAAGCUAUUUUUGGACAUGUGUCCAAUAGCAGUUUAACAUCUAUAUUUUUGUUGUUAAUGGUAUCGGUUUUCAGUCCGCGGCGUGUUUCCUGUCAGAGACGCCGAUCUGGGGAGCAGCUGCUGCUCCCAGACUGAAAACUCAUAAAUACGGCCUCCUGGGCUCCUGCACCCCCUGCUGCUUAAUAAAGGUAUAAACUGUUCUGGUGAUAAUAAUCCAACUUCUGCUUUAUGGUAUGAAUAGGCGUGAAUUUAGGACAUGAGAAAAAUGCCUGCUAAAUAACAAUAAAUGUAACUGAUCUUUUAUAUAAUUUAAUAAAAGCAGCACAUGCAGAUUUCAGCAAAACCACUA